GACGAACGCUGGCGGCGUGCUUAACACAUGCAAGUCGAACGGUGAAGGGAUCAGCUUGCUGGUUCUGGAUGAGUGGCGAACGGGUGAGUAACGCGUGAGUAACCUGCCCCCUUCUUCUGGAUAACCGCAUGAAAGUGUGGCUAAUACGGGAUAUUCUGGGUCUGUCGCAUGGCGGGCCUGGGAAAGAUGCGCCUUUGGGUGUUUUUGGUGGGGGAUGGGCUCGCGGCCUAUCAGCUUGUUGGUGGGGUGAUGGCCUACCAAGGCGGUGACGGGUAGCCGGCCUGGGAGGGUGGACGGUCACACUGGGACUGAGACACGGCCCAGACUCCUACGGGAGGCAGCAGUGGGGAAUAUUGCACAAUGGGCGCAAGCCUGAUGCAGCGACGCCGCGUGAGGGAUGGAGGCCUUCGGGUUGUAAACCUCUUUCGCCAGUGAAGCAGGCCUGCUCCUUGUGGGUGGGUUGACGGUAGCUGGAUAAGAAGCGCCGGCUAACUACGUGCCAGCAGCCGCGGUAAUACGUGGGGCGCGAGCGUUGUCCGGAAUUAUUGGGCGUAAAGAGCUCGUAGGCGGCUGGUCGCGUCUGUCGUGAAAUCCUCUGGCUUAACUGGGGGCUUGCGGUGGGUACGGGCCGGCUUGAGUGCGGUAGGGGAGACUGGAACUCCUGGUGUAGCGGUGGAAUGCGCAGAUAUCAGGAAGAACACCGGUGGCGAAGGCGGGUCUCUGGGCCGUUACUGACGCUGACGAGCGAAAGCGUGGGGAGCGAACAGGUUAGAUACCCUUGUAGUCCAAGGGGGAAUUCCACAGGGAUAUCAGCUUAUCGAUACGUCGACCUCCAGGGGGGGCCCGGUACCCAGCUUUGUUCCUUUAAUGAGAGAUAAAUACCCCUUGCUUAAUAAGGUCAUGCAAUUCCAUUC
rnacentral:rRNA from 1 species